rnacentral:tRNA from 1 species
GCUGAAUGGUUAAAGCGCCCAACUCAUAAUUGGUAAAUUUGCGGGUUCAAUUCCUGC